AACGAACGCUGGCGGCAUGGAUUAGGCAUGCAAGUCGAACGAGAUCUGAGAUGUUCAAGUAGCAAUAUGAGAAUAUUUCAGUGAGAGUGGCGAAAGGGUGAGGAACACGUGAGUUACCUGCCCCUAAGCUCGGAAUAACCUUCCGAAAGGAGGGCUAAUGCCGAAUGUGGAUAAAGUUUAUAAAGAGUUUUUAUCUAAAGAUUUAUCACUUAGGGAUGGACUCGCGUCCUAUUAGCUAGUUGGUGAGGUAACGGCUCACCAAGGCGAUGAUGGGUAGCUGGUCUGAGAGGAUGGUCAGCCACACUGGGACUGAGACACUGCCCAGACUCCUACGGGAGGCAG
rnacentral:rRNA from 1 species